UUUGCAUAUCCCCAAAAGCGGAGGAAAAGAAACCAACAGGGAUUGCCUCAGUAACGGCGAGUGAAGCGGCAACAGCUCAAAUUUGAAAUCUGGCCUCUUUGGGGUCCGAGUUGUAAUUUGUAGAGGAUGUUUCGGGCACCGCUCCGGUUUAAAUUUCUUGGAACAGAAUGUCAAAGAGGGUGAGAACCCCGUCUUGGACCGGCAGUAGGGCCCAUGUGAAACUCCUUCGACGAGUCGAGUUGUUUGGGAAUGCAGCUCAAAAUGGGUGGUAAAUUUCAUCUAAAGCUAAAUAUUGGCCAGAGACCGAUAGCGCACAAGUAGAGUGAUCGAAAGAUGAAAAGCACUUUGAAAAGAGAGUUAAACAGUACGUGAAAUUGUUGAAAGGGAAGCGCUUGCAACCAGACUUGCGCGCGGCGGUUCCCCCUUCCUUUUGGUUGGGUUAUUCCGCCGUGUCCAGGCCAACAUCGGUUCUGGGGGUCGGUUAAAGGCCUGGGGAAUGUAUCUACCCUUCGGGCGUAGACUUAUAGCCCCGGGUGUCAUGCGACCUCCCGGGACCGAGGAACGCGCUUCGGCUCGGAUGUUGGCGUAAUGGUUGUCAGCGACCCGUCUUGAACACGGGGACCAAAA
rnacentral:rRNA from 1 species